rnacentral:rRNA from 1 species
ACUCCUACGGAAGGCAGCAGUAAGGAAUAUUGGACAAUGGAGGCAACUCUGAUCCAGCCAUGCCGCGUGAAGGAUGAAGGCGCUCAGCGUUGUAAACUUCUUUUGAGUGGGAACAAAAACCCCGACUUGUCGGGGCCUGAGGGUACCACUAGAAUAAGCACCGGCUAACUCCGUGCCAGCAGCCGCGGUAAU